rnacentral:rRNA from 1 species
GUGAGGAAUUUUCCGCAAUGGGCGAAAGCCUGACGGAGCAAUGCCGCGUGAAGGAUGAAGGCCUAUGGGUUGUAAACUUCUUUUCUCAGAAAAGAAUUAUGACGGUAUCUGAGGAAUAAGCAUCGGCUAACUCUGUGCCAGCAGCCGCGGUAAGACAGAGGAUGCAAGCGUUAUCCGGAAUGAUUGGGCGUAAAGCGUCUGUAGGUUGUUUAAAAAGUAUUCUGUCAAAGAUUAGGGCUUAACCCUAGAUAGGCAGAAUAAACUUUUAAGCUAGAGUAUGGUAGAGGCAGAGGGAAUUCCCGGUGGAGCGGUGAAAUGCGUAGAUAACGGGAGGAACACCAAAGGGGAAGGGACUCUGCUGGGCCAAUACUAACACUGAGAGACGAAAGCGAGGGGAGCAAAUGGGAUUAGAAACCCGGGUAGUCC